ensembl:lncRNA
UGUCACUGUGUUAACCACAACCAACAUGUUGGAUCUCUGUUUAGUUGUCACUGUGUUAACCACAACCAACAUGUUGGAUCUCUGUUUAGUUGUCACUGUGUUAACCACAACCAACAUGUUGGAUCUCUGUUGUCACUGUGUUAACCACAACCAACAUGUUGGAUCUCUGUUUAGUUGUCACUGUGUUAACCACAACCAACAUGUUGGAUGUCUGUUUAGGGGUCAGUGCUCUAAAAUGAGUCUCUCUGGGGAACAUGACACCAAAACUAAGAGUCCAAUCAAGCAGGAGAGACCAGCCUCCCCUGUUCCCAGCUGUGUGUCCAUGAAGAGUGACCGGUCUAUGGAACCUCCUCUAACCUUUAGAGAGGGAGACUUUUCUACUGAACAAAGGUAAGAAGAACUCAUGGGUCCUGGUCAGUGAGUUAAAC